AUAUGCAGUUCUGAAUUUUGCAGCCGCAGUUUUUUACAGGCCAGUGAAGUAAGCAUACAAGUCCGUGACUGUAGCUGUUCAAGUGAUGGCUGAUGCCUGUUCUGUUGUAUGAUAUUGGUCGGUCCGUAACUUAUGCAAGUAUUAGUGAAUAAUCACCUGUAGCGGUCAGUUGCUGCCCUUCAUGAUGGGGUUGGUUCGGUAAUGGUACUAGCACUUUUGAUACUGGUGGUGGCUGCUACCUUGCUGUGUUGCUGGCUUGCUGUCAGUUCCAUAAGUUGUAUGCUUUGCCAUGUCAUCCACUUUACUGCGAUAUUUUGUUUGGAAAAAGUUGCUUUGCAAUUUGCUUUUUUUUUUUAAAAAGUUGCUUUGCAAUUUGCUUUUUUUUCUUUUUUUUUUUAAUCGUGCUCCAGUCAAAUUUUAUGCCCAUUAGGGAAAGAUAACUGCUGUUUCUUAAUCCUUAUCUUAUCCUUUUCUUUUUCUUAGGGUUUCUUAUGUAUUGGAUUGUACAUCUGCCACCUGGUCCUUGUGCUUUAUCUAGAUUGUAUCUUCUAAACA